rnacentral:rRNA from 1 species
UACGGGGGGAGCAAGCGUUGUUCGGAUUUACUGGGCGUAAAGGGCGCGUAGGCGGCCACUGCAAGUCGGUUGUGAAAUCUCCGGGCUUAACCCGGAAAGGUCAACCGAUACUGCAGGGCUAGAGUGCAGAAGGGGCAACUGGAAUUCUCGGUGUAGCGGUGAAAUGCGUAGAUAUCGAGAGGAACACCUGCGGCGAAGGCGGGUUACUGGGCUGACACUGACGCUGAUGCGCGAAAGCUAGGGGAGCAAACGGG